ensembl:lncRNA
GUCUGUUUAGUCUGUUUAUCGGGUCUGCUGUGUUGUGUUUGUGUGUCAUUCCUCAUUCCUAAGUUGGACCCGAGUUACCCCUGUGUCUUGGAUCUAAUAAAGACUAUUUUGUGUAUUCCACAGCUCUGUGUUCCUUCCGGCAGCGAUCGUGACAGAAGACCCGCCCGAAACGGUUUAAUCCAUGUGUACCCUACGUUUUUAUUCCUCACAGUGUUUUUUGUUACCGUUGUGUGUUUCUAUAGAUCCCCUCUCCCGUCCAGAAUAUCUCCUCCUCCAGCUACCCGGACGACGCACUCUGUGCAUUCUAUGAUGCCAAUUUUAACAUCUCGUGCAGAGCACUGUCGUCCCAAGAUGCUCCUCGAUGAAAUUCGCUGCCUUUGUGGACACUGGUACUUCUUGGGCAUCAAUCCAGGGACAAGCACAAACUCAAAGAGGCAGAGAGGACAUAUCAACCAGCAAGUCUGUACACUGAUCAGGAAACUCAUUGACUUUGAAUGGAUGUCAAUCUAGUGUUUAAGCAAUGUUCCAACACCAGAAUGGACAAACCAAAUUCUGGCUUUGUGUUAAGCUAGAUGUGGUCAUGUAGUAAGAUGAUCACUGAAUAUGUUCUAUAUGUCUUUCCAGUGUUAUAGGUUAUUGAUGGGUUAAAAAAAUCAAAUUUCAAAAUUACAGUAUUUUAUAAUAAAUUAACAAUACAUUUUAAAUUAAAAGUUUUUAAUUAAAAAUAGUAAAUUAAAAGCACAUUACUGGCUACUGAUUUGAAUUAGUUAUUAUUAGUUUACACUGUAAUUCUACAGCAGAAUACUGCUAAAUUGUUGUAAUCUGAUGGCAUUAACUAACCUCACAGAUGAGUGCAGUAAUUCUACAGUAUAAUUACAGUAAUGUCACCAUAUACAGCUGUCAUUUCACAAUUAUGUACUGUAUAAAUGAUACAGUAACUUACUGUGAAAGUAAUGUAACUAGUUUACAGUAAUUUACUGUGUAAUUAAUGCAACUAGUAGCCAGUAAUUUACUGUAAAUUUACGGUCAAAUUUUUUACAGUGCAGCCAUAUUAUUUCUAUAACUACACAUGUAACAACCCUCCAAAUGGUUUGUGUAAUUACAAAUGUGUAACAGAAUAUAUAUUUUGUAACAACAAUAUGUAUAAGAGUAAUUGGAACAAUUUGAUCCAGGGGGUGGAGAUGGGUAGGUUUAGGAGUGGAUAUGGGAUCCUGGGGGUGGAGAUGGGAAGGUUUAGGGAUAUGUGAAGUGGGAGGAGUUGAAACUCAAGUUGGUGGAGUUGGUGCACCACUUUAUACCAGUGUACUUACAUGGUAACUCCUCAGCAACUGUCCACUUAAUAUAAAAUGUAACAUUCUGGACACUAACCACAAUUUAUACGUAAAGAUUAACUUACUGGCCGCUGCUGUGUAACAUCAGAGUAAUUACGUGGUUAAUCCAUAGGAGUUGUUUACUUAAUAUAAAGUGUAAAACUUUCUUUACCAAAAAGUGCUGUUAGUUCUGUUACACAUUUGCACUUUCAUUACCAAAAAGAGUUGUUACCAAUGUCCUGUUACACAGUUGUAUUUACACAUACUGUACCAUUCAGUGGGUUGUUACAUAUGUGUAGUUACACAAAAAUUACAGCUGUAGAUACUAUGUACCAAUGUGUACUUACACUGUGGUUACAUAAUAUGUACACAUCUAGUUACUAUGUAAGUACACAGGUAUUAGGGCCACAAUGUAAAGUGGGACCAUCAGUCCACAAAAUAAUCCAAAAGUGGCAUACAAAAUUAAAUAAUAAAUAAAAGCAAAAGUGUGUGAGCUGUCAAAACUAUAUAAUUAGUCAAAG